CUCUGCCUCGUGAUGACUGGGUGUUGUGUGAUGCCCUUAGGUUAGUUAGGUUUAAGUAGUUCUAAGUUCUAGGGGACUGAUGACCAUAGAUGUUAAGUCCCAUAGUGCUCAGAGCCAUUUGAACCAUUCUCACCACCUCCACCUCCCCUCUACCUUUCAUAUCUGCCUCCUACCCCUCGACAAUCUGCCUCAUGCAUUUUCCCCUCUUUCCCUCUCUUUAUCCAUUUUCGACUCCCCAUCACUAUACCGCUCUCUUCUAUCCAUUUCAGCCUGGUUCCUGCCACGCUCAUCAGCAUGUACAGCACCCACAGUACAGUUCAAUAAAGCAAGCUAAUGCUACUCCCACAACAUGCCUUUCAGACAGGACAGGCUCGUAUCAGGGGCUUCAAAAUAAUGUAUUUGUCCCUGAUGUACAGGCUGCUGUGCAACGCAGGUCGAUAAAGAAGGCCAAUACGACUCCAACACAACAGGGCAGCCUAUGUGUUGAGGCCCAGAACACUCUUUCUUACCCCUGACAUGUACGCUGCCCUGCAAAGCAAGUAGAUUUGGCUCUCUGAUGCGUUCCCACACAACACGCCUGUCAUACAGGGAGCCUACACCUCAUGGGACGAAAAAAAAAAAACUUAUUUGCCUGUAUCUCGAUUACUGUCACAGUUAGUAUUUUAUGAACCACUCUGUGCUGAUACUUGUGAGACCUACGUUGCAGUCUCACAUUUGGUUGAAAUCGAUCCACGCCAUGUGGGAGGCGUUCUGGAAUAUACAUACACUCUUCUUUAUAUAAAUAAAACAGUUUUGUAUGUGAACACCAUUAUUUACACCUCACAGAGAUUUGUGUCUUCUAAGUCGUUUUACCUCAGGUUUUACUGCUUGUUUGCACAUUACAAUGUAAUAAACGAAAUGACUUGUGUGCUACUAUUCACACAGAAGAGCAUUGCAGUUGUGAUCUACAUUUUCUUGUGCAUUUGCUUCCACUGCCAGAACUUCUUCAAACAACAGAUGUUCGAUAUAUUACACACUUUACAUCUGAAUUUCUGUUUCCACUUCACACUACGCUUAUCCUGUAAAAUCGCUUCUGCUGGAGCUUGCAAACUUAUAGGAAAUUUUCUUGGUCACCAAUCA